CUAAGGCGCAUAAAUAUGCUCCUAUCAUGUGGGCCACAACUAAUCCCUAUUUUUAUAAAUAAAAAAAUGGGAAUCCCUUUCCUUAAAGGCUUCCUAUAAAUAUAUAUGACACACCCCGACCCGACAUAUCCACUAAAACUCCGAAUUGAGCUGUACUGGGCGACACCUGGAAGGUGACGAAGUCAUAAACUGUAGUGAUGUGGAAAAUGUUAGUACUAAAAGUGCGUAAGUAUAAGAGUGCUCUUGUGAGCGGGAAUAAACUCAUUUCACAUGUGACGAUAGAGCAUAAGUAAAGUACAGUAAGGUAAAGUAAGAGUUAUACCAUCAAAGGUAGCCACCUAUACUGAGACUUGCCAAGAAUCUUCGUCAAUACAAAAGUUUAGCUGCUAAAACCCGGAGGGGCGAAAAACAAAGGCGAGUGCGCCUGGAAAUAAAGCUUUAAUAAAAACCUUUUGAAAAUGUUAUAACCCCUCGCCGUAAAACAAGUAUAGUUUCCAGACAAUCAUAAUAUGUAUAGGUAUGAAAUCAAAUGCAAAUCAACAGUAAAUCCAGAAGUAUGCCACAUCACAGUAUCUUAACAGUAAUAUAAGUAAAGCCAUGUGUUUAAUCAAUCUAUACUAGCACACAAGUCGGAGUUGCCUAAUGCAACCUGUACGACUGAACUGAUGCUCAUCAAUCUAUGCUAGCACACGAGUCAGAGUUGCCUAAUGCAACCUGUACAACAGGAUUGGGAGUAAUCAUAAUAUACGCUCUAAUGCUACAAUCACGUGAAGACUGGCGUUAUUCGCAGUCACCUACGAGUCAGAGUUACCUAAUGCAACCUAUACGACAGGGCUGGCACCUACUUGGAUCCAAGAUGAGCGUGUGGUGCAGAGGUGAACAUACACGUGAAAGACUAGCCCUGGCCCUGGGCGAGCAUUAACACCAAAGUGCAGCAAUGAUGAGCAUAAAACAUAAAUAUAGUGAUGCCAUAGUGAUUCGAUAGUUCUAAUCAACAUACUAUCAUUCAUAGCCAUAAACAUAAUUAUGACAUCAAUAAUCAUACCACACCUGUGCAUCCUGUAGGAUGUAGCAUAUUUCAUAAGUUCCAUCAUUUCGCUAAUUCUUGUAAACUUUAGUUUGAUCCCAGCUUACGUAGAGGAUUCUUUUUCAAAUGUAUAAAUGGAAACUAUCAAUCAUAUUGAUAGGAGCAUAUUUAUGCGACUUAGUUAGCUUGUUUCCUUGCAUUUACGUAGUUAGUUUCUACUUUUAGAGUGUUUUAAGCCAUUUUCGUGUGUUCGUAGGUUCAAAUGGCAAAAGUAGCAAGAAAAAGGCGAUUUGGAGCAUUUUAUAGCAGUUUUGGGCUUGGAAUGGACGUCAUAUGAAUGAAGCGAGGUGGAUGGACGUUUUUGAAGAUCAAAAGAGGCUAGGAAUGUGCUAAAAAGUUGAAGGAAUUAAUUCAAGACAUAGAAGAUAAGGAAUCAAUGAUAGGAGCAUAUUUAUGCGACUUAGUUAGCUUGUUUUCUUGCAUUUUCAUACUUUGUUUGUGUUUAUUAUAGUGAUUUAAGCUAUUUUCGUGUGUUUGUAGGUCCAAAUGACAAAGUUGGCAAGAAAGUGCAUUUUGGAGCAGUUUUGGGCACUAAAUGGAUAGCACAUGUAUAGGCCAAGAUGGAUGGACGAAUUUGGAGUUCAAAAGGCUAGGAAUCUGAUAAGAAGAUGAAGAAAUUAAAUUCAAGACAAAGAAGAUAAGGAAUCAGCUCAAAAGAAGAAAUAUUAUCCAAAACCUUAUCCAAACUUAUCUUAUCCAAACAAACCUUAUCUUAUUUUAUCCUAUCCUAAUAUUUUCCUAACUUAAUUCCUGCUGCAAGGGGGAGUUAAUUUCUGAUUUAAAUACCUAGAAACCUUUCUAUAAGGCCUUAUCUGUUCCUACAUUGGUGUUGCAUGUUUUUAGGCCUUGUUCUUAAAGAAAUCAGCCACAUAACAUUGUUUCUAGAAUUCCCUACAAAAGUGGCGCCCAAAACCCUUCUAGAAACCCUAAAAUCUGCAUAAACCCUAGUUCUUUUCCCCCUUGGAUUGAGGGCCAAGACUUUCCCGAAAAUCCUAAGCCUUUUCCCAUCAAAAUUUGUCAAAACCCUAGGCUAUAAAUAUGUGUUUUCAGCCACAAUUUCGUCCACCACCACCCCUUCAUUCAUUCACAUACAUAUUCAGCCGCAUUCAUCCAUCCAUCACCCAUCACACCAUAUUUCAUUCUACAUCACAAGAAUUCAAUUGUGCCACAGCCUUGGGAAAAGAGGAGAGACUUAUCGUGGCUUUCCAUAGGAGAAGGAGGAAUUGUGCCGCAACCAAUCUGCAUCCAUUGGGGAGUUUUAGAGUUCUUUCUUCCUUCGUUUGUUUCCAUGUUUAAUUUAAAUCAUUUUUCAAUUGUUAUGAACAUGUGGAACUAAAUUCUUUUUUGUUAGGUGCGAAUUCCAUCACCCACCACACCAUAUUUCAUUCUACAUCACAAGAAUUCAAUUGUGCCACAACCUUGGGAGAAGAGGAGAGACUUGUCAUGGCUUUCCAUAGGAGAAGGAGGAAUUGUGCCGCAACCAAUCUGCAUCCAUUGGGGAGUUUUAGAGUUCUUUCUUCCUUCGUUUGUUUCCAUGUUUAAUUUAAAUCAUUUUUCAAUUGUUAUGAACAUGUGGAACUAAAUUCUUUUUUGUUAGAUGCGAAUUCGAAGCCAUGGACAUAUGUUUUAUAUGAAUUGAUUUCCUCCAGUUAUUGUUUCAUAAAUUGUGAAUGUGGAUUGCUUAUCUGAUUUAUUGAGAACUUGUUCUUGUAUGUCGAUUAAGGGUGCACACUUAGUUUGCAUGCAUGAAUUUGGUGCUAGGAUAUAGGGGAAUUUCACCUAAUCGUUAUGAACUUAUAUUUAUGAGUAGUAAAAGUCGCUAGUCACGAUUGUGUUAAGUAAUUCCUAGGCAAGAGUAUCAUGCAGUUCAUAGUUAUAAUUGCCUUGUCAAUGCUUAUGAUUUCCACGGAACUUAAUGAUCUUUGAAUGUAUCUCUAUCAUGUUGUUCAUAUAAGGAACUUGAGAAGAAUAAUUUGGGUUAUCGCAUGCAUUCAUCCAAUUCAAUGAAUUUAGGGAAAUUUGAGAGUUAAUUUGUGCAUUCACGAUUAAUUGGGGCAUUGUCAUUCAUGGUUUAAAGAAACAAUACUGGAAAUCGAUUUAUGUUGCAUAUGUUUAUGUGUGGAGAAGGAUCCUCUAACUAGCCUUUCACCCUUGAAUUCGUCUCAAUUUCGUUUUAACUUACUUUGCUUUGCAAUUUGUUUAGUUUUACUUCAAUUUCGUAAAAAACCAGACCCCCUUUUCUAUUUGGUGUUUUUAGGUCAGAAUCUGUUCAAACCAGGUUCUUUAGAGUGUUUUGAGUCAAUAUAGGUUAGUGAUGCGUAAAAUUAACUUAACACACAAAUUAACCCUCUUGUUGACAAUUGUAGUAUGGAUAAGUAGGGAUCGUUCUUAAACCGGGGAUUAGGAGGGAUUGCUAAACACUCUAAACUGACUCAAAUAGAUAAAACUAAGCUUUAAAACACUUAACUAGACUCAAAGGACUCAAAACAAACUCAAAAGACUCAAAACAAGCUAAAAACACUUAAAACUGCCUAAAAACACAAACUGGGCAGUUUUAAGCUCUAAACACAAUUUGGACGAAAUUUGGGUUUCUAAAGGCUCAAAACACUUAAAAACACAAUCUAAGACAAGUUCUAACUAAUAUGACUUAACAAAGUAAAGGGGGUUUGGUUUUGGACGAAAAUAAGUAAAUUAAAACAAGAACAAUUUAAACAGAUUCUUAAGCAAAUUUAGGUGAAUUGAUGAGAUAUGGGGUAACUAGAGGGUUCUUCUCCACACAUCACACACUUGCAUUCAAAUUGAUUUCCAAUUGCUUCUCUCA
rnacentral:lncRNA from 1 species